rnacentral:misc_RNA from 1 species
AAAGAAACAACUUUAGCCGUACUGAAAAAAAUUGUUAUUUUAAUUCUGAUGUAGUUUGAAGUAUAUCUUUGAAGAUGUGCUUAAUUGCAGGUAUUCAAAUUUCUGUUGAAUGUUAUAUUCGUGGCUUAAUUAGUGAAUUAUAAAUGAUUAUAUGUAUCUUAGUUGGUGUACAGGAUAUGGAUCUACGCAAUGCUCCAUUAAGCUUAAUUUUGGAAUGAAGGUACUUAACUAUAAGAGCUUGUCAAAUUAACUCGGAAUUUAUAG